UUGGGCGUAAGAGCUCGUAGGCGGUUUGUCGCGUCUGCUGUGAAAACUGGAGGCUCAACCUCCAGCCUGCAGUGGGUACGGGCAAACUAGAGUGCGGUAGGGGAGAUUGGAAUUCCUGGUGUAGCGGUGGAAUGCGCAGAUAUCAGGAGGAACACCGAUGGCGAAGGCAGAUCUCUGGGCCGUAACUGACGCUGAGGAGCGAAAGCAUGGGGAGCGAACAGGAUUAGAUACCCUGGUAGUCCAUGCCGUAAACGUUGGGCGCUAGAUGUGGGGACCAUUCCACGGUUUCCGUGUCGCAGCUAACGCAUUAAGCGCCCCGCCUGGGGAGUACGGCCGCAAGGCUAAAACUCAAAGGAAUUGACGGGGGCCCGCACAAGCGGCGGAGCAUGCGGAUUAAUUCGAUGCAACGCGAAGAACCUUACCAAGGCUUGACAUAUACGAGAACGCUCUAGAAAUAGAGAACUCUUUGGACACUCGUAUACAGGUGGUGCAUGGUUGUCGUCAGCUCGUGUCGUGAGAUGUUGGGUUAAGUCCCGCAACGAGCGCAACCCUCGUUCUAUGUUGCCAGCGGUUCGGCCGGGAACUCAUAGGAGACUGCCGGGGUCAACUCGGAGGAAGGUGGGGAUGACGUC
rnacentral:rRNA from 1 species